UUCCGGUUGAUCCUGCCGGACCUGACUGCUAUCGGAUUGAUACUAAGCCAUGCGAGUCAUUGUAGUAAUACAAGGCAGACGGCUCAGUAACGCGUAGUCAACCUACCCUGUGGACGGGGAUAACCUCGGGAAACUGAGAAUAAUACCCGAUAGAACAUUAUGCCUGGAAUGGUUUAUGUUUCAAAUAAUUUAUUGCCGUAGGAUGGGACUGCGUCCUAUCAGUUUGUUGGUGAGGUAAUGGCCCACCAAGACUAUUACAGGUACGGGCUCUGAGAGGAGUAGCCCGGAGAUGGGUACUGAGACACGGACCCAGGCCCUAUGGGGCGCAGCAGGCGAGAAAACUUUGCAAUGUGCGAAAGCACGACAAGGUUAAUCCGAGUGGUUUCUGCUAAAGGAACCUUUUGUCAGUCCUAGAAACACUGAUGAAUAAGGGGUGGGCAAGUUCUGGUGUCAGCCGCCGCGGUAAAACCAGCACCUCAAGUGGUCAGGAUGAUUAUUGGGCCUAAAGCAUCCGUAGCCUGCUUUGUAAGUUUUCGGUUAAAUCCAUACGCUCAACGUAUGGGCUGCCGGGAAUACUGCAAAGCUAGGGAGUGGGAGAGGUAGACGGUACUCGGUAGGAAGGGGUAAAAUCCUUUGAUCUAUUGAUGACCACCUGUGGCGAAGGCGGUCUACCAGAACACGUCCGACGGUGAGGGAUGAAAGCUGGGGGAGCAAACCGGAUUAGAUACCCGGGUAGUCCCAGCUGUAAACUAUGCAAACUCAGUGAUGCAUUGGCUUGAUGCCAAUGCAGUGCUGCAGGGAAGCCGUUAAGUUUGCCGCCUGGGAAGUACGUACGCAAGUAUGAAACUUAAAGGAAUUGGCGGGGGAGCACCACAAGGGGUGAAGCCUGCGGUUCAAUUGGAGUCAACGCCGGG
rnacentral:rRNA from 1 species